AAUGGCUCAUUAAAUCAGUUAUGGUUCCUUGGAUCCUACUUAUCCUACAUGGAUAACUGUGGUAAUUCUAGAGCUAAUACAUGCAACUUGAGCCUGGCCCGGAAACGGGUGAGGCGCACUUAUUAGAUCAAAAUCAAUCGGUCGGCGCGCGCCCGCCGCCCUCGCGGGCGGAGGAACCGUCGCGCCGGCCGUCGUUUUGGUGACUCUGAAUAAAUCCACUGCUGAUCGCACGGCCCUCGCGCCGGCGACGUAUCUUUCGAAUGUCUGCCUUAUCAACUGUCGAUGGUAGGUUCUGCGCUUACCAUGGUUGUAACGGGUAACGGGGAAUCAGGGUUCGAUUCCGGAGAGGGAGCCUGAGAAACGGCUACCACAUCCAAGGAAGGCAGCAGGCGCGCAAAUUACCCACUCCCAGCACGGGGAGGUAGUGACGAAAAAUAACGAUACGGGACUCAUCCGAGGCCCCGUAAUCGGAAUGAGAACACUUUAAAACUUUUAACGAGUACCUARUGUCCUGCCGGUGGGCGCGCUCUUCCCCUGCGGCGGCCCCUCGUGGUGUUUCCCCUCCGGGGGUCUCCGCCUCGGGGUGCGUCGACGCGGGGGGUGCCGCCCGUUAACCUUCCCUCCGUGCUGCUCUUAACCGGGUGGCGCGGUGGGCCGGCACGUUUACUUUGAACAAAUUUGAGUGCUCAAAGCAGGCCUCGAGUCGCCUGAAAACUGUGUGCAUGGAAUAAUGGAAUAGGGCCUCUUUUCUAUUUUGUUGGCUUUUCUGAAACUGAGGUAAUGAUUAAUAGGGACAGACGGGGGCAUUCGUAUUGCGACGUUAGAGGUGAAAUUCUUGGAUCGUCGCAAGACGGACGGAUGCGAAAGCGUUUGCCAAGAAUGUUUUCGCUAAUCAAGAACGAAAGUUAGAGGUUCGAAGGCGAUCAGAUACCGCCCUAGUUCUAACCAUAAACGAUGCCAGCCAGCGAUGCGCCGACGUUCCUCCGAUGACUCGGCGCGCAGCUUCCGGAAACCAAAGCUUUUGGGUUCCGGGGGAAGUAUGGUUACAAA
rnacentral:rRNA from 1 species